AGAAGUGUACAUGGUUGGUGACUGAGACCCACCCUGGAAAUGGCCUCCUGGCAUAGCGAUAACGCUUUGUCUCCUUCCUUCCUAGCUCGGCCUACAAAAAAAGUGUCAAUAAUCAAUGUUGUUCUCUGUUUUAAAGAAUGAACUUUUGUUAUAGGAAGCUGAGGCAACAAAUUAAAGAAAAUCAUUCAAAGCAACACAAGGGUUACCUGCAAUAGGCAUCCCUAAUUUUGAACUGAUAGACUAGAGAGAAGGCAGCUAAUCAACAGGACCUCACUAACUCUUGGGUUAUUCUGAUCAAGUAGUUUUAUUUUACUGCUACUCUUAUAAUGCACCCAUAACAAAGGAUUCAAGUUCAGAUUCAACACAAUUCUCUGCUUCAAGGAUUUGUUCUAUGGGCAUGUCAGGUGGAGAGUUACAGGAGUACUCACCACAACCAAAAGAUAAAGUUUAUGGAAGCAAGAGCAACUGGGGGUCGUCAACAUGGAAUUUGGCACUUCAAAAGGUCUCCACAUGACUCCCAAGCUGUUGGAAGCCAGUGCAACUCAGCCCCAGCUCUGGUCCAAACUAUGGACAAUCAACCAAGAAGGACUGGACAUGCCACUGGUGGAUGACUUCCACCAAUUAGAAUCGUUUCCCCAGCAAGUGAGACAGUGGAUACCCAAGGAUCACAGCUAGGACAAUCGGGUAAUUAUAAUAUUGCUUACUGAAAUGUUGUAGCGGACUUUGCUUUCUGAGUCUCUUGUAGUAGUACAAAAUACAGUGUAUGUAUUAUACCAUAUGGUUACUGCUCAAUUUUCAAAGCAAGGAUGGUCAAGUAGUUGAAAUAAUGCUGACCAAAAGGGCAUCAUGAUCACUUGCUUUCUGAGCUUUCAAGCAGUAGUGGAAGUGCAAUGUAUACACUACAUUAUGGAGGUUUUGCUCAAUCAUCAAUGCUAGAAUGAUCAUUAGGUCAAGUGUCUAAUGACUGAAAAGAAGUGGCAUUCCUUGUUUUCCAUGCUACUGAGUGAUGCAAACUAUGAUCUAUACAUUUUUAGACACAACUUUGUUAGACGCAAAGUUGAAACUGUUGUAUGGUAAGUAUCCUAGUUACUAAUAUGGUAAAAAAAAAUUUCCAGUAACAGAAAAUACUCCAACUUAGGGACCAUGAAAUAUUAAAUUUAUCUAGUUAAAUAAAACAUUGCAUCUUAGUAAUAGAAGUUUGAAAAUUGACUCUCAAUGACUAUAAUUCGUCAUAAUCAGAUAGUCAAAAGAAAAUUAAACUUAAAUGUUUGAAGCUUGUUAGUCUAGUCUACUAAAAAGGAAAUACUACUUUCACUGGGCUUUGCUAAGUAAAUUUAACAGAAGAUAAUGCUAAGAACAUAUCAGUUUCAUCUGAGAGAAGGAAAGAUUAACAUUAAUUCAGUUAUAUGGUCUUGUUAUUUUUUAUUUCUAUAUCUAUGAUUCAAUAC